rnacentral:rRNA from 1 species
GACGUAGGGCGCGAGCGUUGUCCGGAUUUAUUGGGCGUAAAGAGCUCGUAGGCGGCUUGUCGCGUCGUCCGUGAAAACCCACAGCUCAACUGUGGGCUUGCGGUCGAUACGGGCAGGCUAGAGUUCGGUAGGGGAGACUGGAAUUCCUGGUGUAGCGGUGAAAUGCGCAGAUAUCAGGAGGAACACCGGUGGCGAAGGCGGGUCUCUGGGCCGAUACUGACGCUCAUGCACGAAAGCGUGGGGAGCAAACAGG